UACGAAGGGGGCUAGCGUUGCUCGGAAUCACUGGGCGUAAAGGGUGCGUAGGCGGGUCUUUAAGUCAGGGGUGAAAUCCUGGAGCUCAACUCCAGAACUGCCUUUGAUACUGGGGAUCUCGAGUCCGGGAGAGGUGAGUGGAACUGCGAGUGUAGAGGUGAAAUUCGUAGAUAUUCGCAAGAACACCAGUGGCGAAGGCGGCUCACUGGCCCGGUACUGACGCUGAGGCGCGAAAGCGUGGGGAGCAAACAGG
rnacentral:rRNA from 1 species